GAGCUGUGAUGAAAUCUCCAGCGCUUCAUGUGAUAGAGGGGUCUAUCACUACCGUCCGAUCCUAGUGACGAAAGGUGGCGCUUCUGAGCUC
rfam:Morus notabilis contig23048, whole genome shotgun sequence.